UACGAGGGGGGCGAGCGUUGUUCGGAAUUAUUGGGCGUAAAGGGUGCGUAGGCGGUUCCGCAAGUCCUGUGUGAAAUCUUCGGGCUCAACUCGAAGUCUGCACGGGAAACUGCGGGGCUUGAGUGUGGGAGAGGUGAGUGGAAUUCCCGGUGUAGCGGUGAAAUGCGCAGAUAUCGGGAGGAACACCGGUGGCGAAGGCGGUUCUCUGGGCCUUACCUGACGCUGAGGAGCGAAAGCGUGGGGAGCGAACAGG
rnacentral:rRNA from 1 species